UCGUGCACUGCAGCUUCAAGCCGCGCACGUAGCGCCCUCUGUCGCGGGUGACGGCGAUUAUAGGUUGGGGGUGAAUGCGAAGUGGACGCGUUGACAACGUAGGGGAGCAUGGCGCCUCGUCGCGUGGUUGUGAAAACCGGGUCCAGGAAAGGCAAUUCGCCGUAUUGCUGCGUUUAUGGCUGUCACAACAGCUACAGGAACACUGCUGGAUAAUUGCCGCCGAUCAAAUUCUACCGUUUUCCUAGGAAAUCGUAUGAGAAUGAAAGAAGACAGAGGUGGAUCGCAGCUGUCCGCCGAGCAAGCUCAGAGGGAGAGCUGUGGCAACCGAAAAGGAAUGAAACGCGAAUAUGCAGUGCUCACUUCGUGGGAAACGAGAGAAGCAACAUCGCUCAGCACCCAGCGUACAUUCCAACAAUAUUUCCACCUUGCUACAAAAAGAGUGAUGCCGCCUUGCCCCAGACCAUGUUUUCACUUUUCAGAAUAAAAGGAGAGGUCGAAGUGACCCUUAGCGCACUGUG